UACGUAGGGGGCAAGCGUUGUCCGGAUUUAUUGGGCGUAAAGAGCUCGUAGGUGGUUCGGUAAGUCGGAUGUGAAAUCUCCAGGCUCAACCUGGAGGGGUCAUUCGAUACUGCCGUGGCUAGAGGUCGGUAGGGGAGUGUGGAAUUCCUGGUGGAGCGGUGAAAUGCGCAGAUAUCAGGAGGAACACCCGUAGCGAAGGCGGCACUCUGGGCCGAUACUGACACUGAGGAGCGAAAGCGUGGGGAGCGAACAGG
rnacentral:rRNA from 1 species